rnacentral:rRNA from 1 species
AGCGAACGCUGGCGGCAGGCCUAACACAUGCAAGUCGAGCGGCCGUAGCAAUACGGCAGCGGCAGACGGGAGAGUAACACGUGGGAACGCGCCCUUCGGUUCGGGAUAACUCAGGGAAACUUGAGCUAAUACCGGAUACGCCCUUACGGGGAAAGAUUUAUUGCCGAAGGAACGGCCCGCGUCCGAUUAGCUUGUUGGUGAGGUAACGGCUCACCAAGGCGACGAUCGGUAGCUGGUCUGAGAGGAUGACCAGCCUCACUGGGACUGAGACACGGCCCAGACGCCUACGGGAGGCGGCAGUGGGGAAUAUUGGACAAUGGGCGCAAGCUUGAUCCAGCCAUGCCGCGUGGGUGAUGAAGGCCCUAGGGUUGUAAAGCCCUUUCAGCGGGGAAGAUAAUGACGGUACCCGCAGAAGAAGCCCCGGCUAACUUCGUGCCAGCCGCCGCGGUAAUAC